GCAGAAUCAAAGACAGCAGGUCGGUGACUCCCACCGAGAUGGUCAUUAAGAUAAAACAGUGAAGUUUCUGUCAUAUAUUAAAAAGCCUGGAGGAAUUAGCAUAGCUUGCAGGAAAGCGUGCUGGAAAGAGAUGAUAUUUGAGAGCAAGCGUUAAAAUGUCGUCUUUUCACCAAGAAUGAUGAGAACUGAUGCGUCUGUCCUGCGUUUGGAUAGAAGAUGCCCUGGAUUUAAAGAUGGUGUGUAUUAAAUGAAGUAUGAGAAGAAACAGCUUCUUCGGACACUUGCGCUCCUCUUCUUCAGCUCGUGGAGAAGGCUGACAGCCUGUCUCACUCUCGUCAGUGCUAUCCCACCAGCUCCUUUAGGAGCCCAGCACCGCAUUUGGCCUGUUGCGAUCUUCCCGCUCCCCUCAUUUCUGUGCUGCAACGCCACCAUCCACGAGAAGUAAGACAGGAGAAAAGCUCUUUCCAGAGAGAUGGAGAAGGAAUUAAUUAGACCUCUGCCUCAUCCUGCAAGACCAGAAGACAUGGAGUAACUGUAAGCUGCGAUUCUCAGGAGACAUACUAAGAGUCUCGGGUUCCUUUUCUGCCCGCCCCCCAAGGCCUUGGGCACGUUGGGUUCACCCUGGGAAGGGCACGUUGCUCAGGGCAGUUAUUUCCUCCCCUAGACGACGUGGGGUACAUUUCUCUGCUGCACUUGUGGUUUUCCACCUGUAGUUUUUCACUUGUGGUUUUCCACGUGGUUCGCACUGCUUCCCAUUAUUGAGAAAACGGUUUGGGAAGCUGCGUCUGCCACUUCUCAGGAUUUUCUGCCGCCACCUGCUGGCAAAAAAAAUCAGUAACGCAGGUGGAGCCAUGUAGGACUUCUCAGAGGUAAGCCUUCAACGUACGGGGACCCCUAAACUCGUGAGCCAAGCACGCAAGACAAAUGUCCGUGGCACAAAGAUCAAGGACGACUUCUCAGAGGUAAGCAGCUUUCCCUUUGUUUUCCCAUCCUCUCAGGAGCCCUCUUUAUGAUGCUUGUACACACUUCAGGCUCACAACACUCAUUUUCUCCUCUACUUAGUAUUCCUAGUCCCUGGCUAACCCGUCCUCCCUCCCCCCACUUUCCAAAGACCUACGUGCUCUGCUCAGGUCCCUCCUGAGGUCUUACAGAUCUUUUAAAUCUGCUCAGCAUUCUUUCCGGCUUGUUCUGUGCCAUUAUUUUUUCCCUGCUCCUUUUGAGAAUGUCUGUACCCUUUUCAGAUCUCAAUUGGGUUGGCUUUUUUGAACCCAUCUGCAUAGCCUUUUGUUUUUUAGAUAGUCUACUAAGGUAGGUUACUUCUCUGGUGAGUUAUUUUACUACAUUGAAUUGUAUUUUUGUGGUUUGUAAUCUGUUACACUCCUAGAUUAUUUCUACCUAUGUAAAGAAAGGUUUCAGCUAAUUACAGUCAAAAACAGUUUUAGUUACCUACUUGGUAAUAUUGUCGUUUCAAUAAUCAGGACUGAAGCAAAAGCACAGGAAUUGUUGCCUCUAGUAACGCCCCACACACCGUUGAGCUAAGCCAAAUAAAAAACGCAGCUGCUGCUCUCUUUAUCCCUUCCUGUGCUUUGCCCCUCCUCUUUCCCAGGUGAUUGGGGCAGGGUGCCGGGUGGGGCCUAAUGGUAUAUGAGCCGCAGGUGUCCUGUCAGAGAGCUCAUUCUGCCUGAGCUGCUCUUUGGGGUAAGUGCUUUGUUUUUCCUUCAGUCAGUUGCACUUUUUUUUUUUUUUUUAAGGUGCGUCAGAGUCUAGGGGUUGAUGCGUUUCUAAGUUGAAAGAGAUAAGUACAUCUAUUGAAAGUAACAUCUAGUAGGAUCAUUUAAAGUAAACUAAUCUAUAUAGUAGUAGAUGCCUUUAUUGCAUGCAGCUCUUCUUCAGGUGAGUAAUUCUUAUAGUAUAAGUAAUUCUUCUCCCAUGUUUUGGUCACGAUGUUUGUAGCGUGCCUUUUUAUGUGUGUGUUUGGCCUGGAGCUGUCCUGCCUGACAAUUAGUGAUGGUAGCUAACGUGGUGGUUCAUCAGUGCAAUAAUACAUUGUCCUGACUCUUUUGGGAAAGACAUCUGGUCUGUCUCUGGGCGAAUACUCAAGCUCUGGGCGAGUACUCAAGGGCAGCUGGCACAGAGUCUUUUUUCUUUUUUUCCCAGCAGUAGGUAAACCUUAGGAGGAAUUGGUCAAAGGAAACAGCAACUGUCAAGUUCUUGUUCGGCAACUCGGUGACUGGUUUGAUCUACUUCUCAGAUGUAGAGGCAAAUGGACUGCUCUUUUGAAAUGAUAAAAUAAAAAACAUGAAUUUUGUCAAA